AGAGUUUGAUCCUGGCUCAGAUUGAACGCUGGCGGCAGGCUUAACACAUGCAAGUCGAGCGGAGUGAUGGUGCUUGCACUAUCACUUAGCGGCGGACGGGUGAGUAAUGCUUAGGAAUCUGCCUAUUAGUGGGGGACAACAUUUCGAAAGGAAUGCUAAUACCGCAUACGUCCUACGGGAGAAAGCAGGGGAUCUUCGGACCUUGCGCUAAUAGAUGAGCCUAAGUCGGAUUAGCUAGUUGGUGGGGUAAAGGCCUACCAAGGCGACGAUCUGUAGCGGGUCUGAGAGGAUGAUCCGCCACACUGGGACUGAGACACGGCCCAGACUCCUACGGGGAGGCAGCAGUGGGGGAAUAUUGGGACCAAUGGGGCCGCAAGCCUGAUCCAGCCAUGCCGCGUGUGGUGAAAAAAGGGCCUUAAUGGUUGGUAAAAGCAACUUUAAGCCGAGGGAGGGAGGGCUACUGAAGUUAAUUACCUUUCAGAUUGUGGAAGUUUACUUCGCAGAAUAAGCACCCGGCUAACUUCUGGUGCCCGCAGCCCCGGUAAUACCGAAGGGUGCCAGCCGUUUAUCCGAUUUUACUUGGGCGUAAAGCCGCGCGGUAAGCCGGCUAAUUUAAUCCAAUGUUGAAAUCCCCCAACUUAUACUUGAGGACAAUAUCGUCCAUUCUGAUACUGCCCGUUAAGCCUAAAGUGGUGCGAAGAAGGAUCGGGUCAGAAACUUUCCAAGGUGUGAGCGCGUGAUAAUGCCGUAUAGGUAUCUCGGAGUAAUACCGGAUGGCGCAAGCAGGCCUUCUAUCUGGGCUCUAUACCACUGACGGCUGAUGUGGCAGAAAUCCAUGUGGAGACCAAACAGGGAUUUAGCAUACCCUCGUGUGUAGUCCCAUCGCUAUAAAGCGGAGUGAUCUUACUAGCCCGCUGUGGGGCCUUUGGCGUCUAGUAGCGCCAGCAGUCACGCGCGAUAGAUGAUCCGCCCUGGGGGGAGUACGUUCCCCAAGAUUAAAACUUAAAGGGAAUUGCGGGGGGGCCCCGCCACAAGCGGGGGGAGCCAUGUGUUUAAUUUCGAUGCACCGGAAAAACCUUACCGGCCCUUACACAUUAUUAAGACUUUUCCAAAGAUGGAUGGUCCUUUCGGGAAUUAACAUCCAGGUGUUCCAGGGCGGUGUCAGUUGGUUUCUUGAGAUGUGGGUUUAGUUCCCCCAACGAGCCCAACCUUUUCCUUUAUUUGCCAGCGAAGUAAAUGUCGGGAACUUUUAAGGAUACUGCCCAGUGCCAAACUGGAGGAAAGGCGGGGACGACGUCAAGUCAUCAUGGCCCCUUACGGCCAGGGCUCCACACGUGCUACAAUGGUCGGUACAAAGGGUUGCUACCUAGCGAUAGGAUGCUAAUCUCAAAAAGCCGAUCGUAGUCCGGAUUGGAGUCUGCAACUCGACUCCAUGAAGUCGGAAUCGCUAGUAAUCGCGGAUCAGAAUGCCGCGGUGAAUACGUUCCCGGGCCUUGUACACACCGCCCGUCACACCAUGGGAGUUUGUUGCACCAGAAGUAGGUAGUCUAACCGCAAGGAGGACGCUUACCACGGUGUGGCCGAUGACUGGGGUGAAGUCGUAACAAGGUAACC
rnacentral:rRNA from 1 species